rnacentral:lncRNA from 12 species
AUGAAAGUAAGAUGGGAAGAGAUAAGCGCCAGAGCAGCCUGGGAGCUGUCAGAGCCCACGCUGGAAUCAGCCCGACGGCUUCUGCUCGGGGCAUCACCUCGGAGUUGCUUCCCAGGGGGCUGUAACUCCGAGGGUCUCUCUCGCCCUCACGCUCUAACUCCAGUGUCGCCCGAGUCCCAGCCCAACGCCGAGCCCCCCCCCCCCCCGCCGCCACCCCUCCCGCCCCUAAAUAUCAUUCCUUGGUUCUUGGGCAUUGGGUCAUUUGAGUUCACCCCCACAAAUCAAAACCAGCUCAACCACCCCGGAGGCAGGCGAGGGGGGAGAGCGCCUCGAAACUUUUCUCUCCCGCACCCCGGAGGAGUAGGUGGGUUGCAAGUGCCGGCGGCGGCGGAGACCCGCGGGCGCGCCUCGGGGCUCCGGGAGGUCGCGGUCGCUUUAAAACCCGAACCUCUCGCCGCUACCGCCUUCGCGCCGGGCAAGCGGCGCCUCGCCUCCCAGAAGGUUCCGCGGACAUUCGCAGACCCCCACGCGCCCCCCGACCCCGUGCGAGCUGUACAGUGUGCAAACGGGGAUGAGGGGCCAGCAGGGGCCCAGGCUUUUUAAUCAGUCUGCAGUGUAAAGACAUACUUCAAGAGGAUCCUUAGAAGCCUUGGACAAGCUUACCCUUAUGUGGCAGGUAUGUCUCUGUCUACACACUAAAUGUGCAAGACUGGUAACUUCAUUCUUCUAUAGGUAAAUCUAAAUUACGUUUUGAUUUUCCAUUUAACCACUUGGAAGCAAUCUGAAGUUGCAUCUAAGUUCUUGGUAAGGUUAUGAGAUACCAAGCUUUUGAGGGGUGACAUACCUGUUCACUUGGCUGCCAUUCCUUCAUUAGCCACAGAUUUUUUCCUAUCCCUUGUCAGUACUUGUGACUAACUGCUGAGGCAUACCUUGAUCUUCCUUUGAGGAUCUUCUGCUUUUCUUCUCGAAGCUUCUUCCAGGUACCUCCUGGGCAUAUCAGGACAUGCUGUCACUCCUGUUGAAUCAGAAGAAACUCUCUGUG